AGCGUCACUGGAGUUUUCAACAAAAGGAAUAGAGGUCAACAAAAGAGAAGUGUUGACAUUAAGUGUCCUAGAAUCAUUUGAAUCAAUAUGUGACAUUUGACAGGAUUUUUUACAUGGAAUUUAAAUUGAAAAUCUCUGGUCUCACCGACCCUACCAAUCUAAUUACACACCCGUUGUUCCUACAAUUUGAUCAGAUCUCGGAAGAUGGAAAGAAUCAAAUUUUGCUCGGCAACGUCCUGAAGAUACAACAACAAUUGGAAAAGUGAUCAAUAAACAUAUUCAAUGGUCAAGACUACCGACUAAAUUGCUCAACAAUAUCUAAAUAUGGAUGUUUGGUAUAUUCCAAUAAUAAUAUAGAUGUACAAACCAACCUCUUUUGAUCCGAUCUCACCGAGUUUAAGAAUCUCGUCUACAU